UGAGCAAUCUGCCCUUCACAUCGGAAUAACCAUUGGAAACGAUGGCUAAUACCGAAUAUGACUUCGGACCGCAUGGUCUGAAGUGGAAAGCUCCGGCGGUGAAGGAUGAGCUCGCGGCCUAUCAGCUUGUUGGUGAGGUAAUAGCUCACCAAGGCGAUGACGGGUAGCCGGCCUGAGAGGGUGACCGGCCACACUGGGACUGAGACACGGCCCAGAUCCGUACGGGG
rnacentral:rRNA from 1 species